rnacentral:rRNA from 1 species
GUGGUUGAUCACGAGUUAGUCGGUCCUAAGUUCAAGGCGAAAGCUAAGAAAUUUUCAAAUUAUUAAGAGAAUAUAUAUAUAUAUAUGAGAAAUUAUAAUUGUCUCAAAAAUAUUAUACUAUUAGUUAAAUAUUUGAAAGUUUUUUGAACGAAAGGGAAUACGGUUCCAAUUCCGUAACUUGUUG